rnacentral:piRNA from 1 species
UUUAAUCCCAGAUCCUAGGAAGUAGGGCUA